AGAGUCCUGAGCUGAACAAAGAAGGAGGAGGGGGUCGGGCCUCCGAGGAAGGCCUAGCCGCUGCUGCUGCCAGGAACUCCAGGUAGGAGGGGCGGCAACCUCCUGCCAGCCUUCAGGCCACUCUCCUGUGCCUGCCAGAGGAGACAGAGCUUGAGGAGAGCAGGAAAGGGCGGCAGUAAGUCUUCAGCAUCAGGCAUUUUGGGGUGACUCAGUAAAUGGUAGAUCUUGCUACCAAUGGAACAGCCACUAAGGAUUCUGCAGUGAGAGCAGAGGGCCAGCUAAGUGGUACUCUCCCAGAGACUGUCUGACUCAACGCCACCCCCUCCACCUUGGACACAGGACGCUGUGGUUUCUGAGCCAGGUACAAUGACUCCUUUCGCAGCCUCCCCCAUUGCCCCUCUGCAUCCACUGCUUAAAUACGGACGAGGACAGGGUUCUGUCUCCUCAGCCUCAGGCACCACCACUAACCUGGGACAGUGAAUCCAGCACAAACCCCUGCUUUCAAGGAGAGAUGAGCGUCUCUAAAGCCCCUGACAGCAAGAGCUCAGAACUGGGACACCACUGGUGACCCAGAUGGCAGGGUCAUUGCAGAUGUAAGU
rnacentral:sRNA from 1 species